AUUCUUACAGUACCGUCAGCUCUCCACACGUGGAAAGGUUUCUUCCUGUAUAAAAGCAGUUUACAACCCAUAGGGCAGUCUUCCUGCACGCGGCAUGGCUGGAUCAGAGUUGCCUCCAUUGUCCAAUAUUCCU
rnacentral:rRNA from 1 species